UAGGAUGUAAGGUGAGUUAGGCUACAACUUCUUAAAAGUGUGCAAUGUGAGUCCGUCAGUAGGCUAAACAAAUUCGAUCCUUGUUAUGAAGCUGUUUAAUUGGGCGUCUUUAGAUAGGCCUAUAGCCUACUACCGUUAUUUUCAUUUUAAUAUAACUAGCCUAUGUUUCAACGAGUUGAAACCGGCGACUGAACAAAAUAGGAUUCAUAGAUGCCCAUUUCACAAGAUGUCGCCUAAUAAAUCUGCUGAAUCUUCAAAGGAACGCAGGAUGGCCUACCGGUAACAUUUACCUGAGUUCAACGUAUCCGGAAAUUGUGAAAUGGACUAAUCAAGGCACUCCCAGGAGGACAUGAAAUAUUUACAGGUAAAGUAAAACAUCCUGGCCUGGGUGUCCUAUCUCAGUUUUGAACGUUAAGUCCUGAAGGCUGUGGGUUGAAACAUGUUGGCCAAUGCAGCAAAAAAAGUCUUCAGGUCUGAUUGUUAGUAACCUAAAUGGAAUUUUUAUAUGUUUGACUUUGAACGUCUAACUUGUAUACGUCUGGAAGGCCACAAGAGCUGAUGUCUUUGAAUGUGCAGGCCUAAGAGCCAUUAUUUGGACGUGUGAAAAUACUUGAUGUUG